rnacentral:rRNA from 1 species
GAUGAACGCUAGCUACAGGCUUAACACAUGCAAGUCGCGGGGCAGCAUGGGGGUUGCUUGCAAUCCCCGAUGGCGACCGGCGCACGGGUGAGUAACGCGUAUCCAACCUGCCCUUCACCACGGGAUAACCCGGCGAAAGUCGGACUAAUACCGUAUGUUGUCCAUUGACGGCAUCCGAUUUGGACGAAAGGUUUGGCGGUGAAGGAUGGGGAUGCGUCCGAUUAGCUGGACGGCGGGGUGACGGCCCACCGUGGCGACUAUCGGUAGGGGUUCUGAGAGGAAGGUCCCCCACACUGGAACUGAGACACGGUCCAGACUCCUACGGGAGGCAGCAGUGAGGAAUAUUGGUCAAUGGGCGUAAGCCUGAACCAGCCAAGUAGCGUGCAGGAUGACGGCCCUAUGGGUUGUAAACUGCUUUUAUGCGGGGAUAAAGUGGCCCACGUGUGGGUUUUUGCAGGUACCGCAUGAAUAAGGACCGGCUAAUUCCGUG